AACGAACGCUGGCGGCAUGCCUAACACAUGCAAGUCGAACGAGACCUUCGGGUCUAGUGGCGCACGGGUGCGUAACGCGUGGGAACCUGCCCUUAGGUUCGGAAUAACUCCCCGAAAGGGGUGCUAAUACCGGAUAAUGUCUUCGGACCAAAGAUUUAUCGCCUUUGGAUGGGCCCGCGUUGGAUUAGCUAGUUGGUAGGGUAAAAGCCUACCAAGGCGACGAUCCAUAGCUGGUCUGAGAGGAUGAUCAGCCACACUGGGACUGAGACACGGCCCAGACUCCUACGGGAGGCAGCAGUGGGGAAUAUUGGACAAUGGGCGAAAGCCUGAUCCAGCAAUGCCGCGUGAGUGAUGAAGGCCGUAGGGUUGUAAAGCUCUUUUACCCGGGAUGAUAAUGACAGUACCGGGAGAAUAAGCUCCGGCUAACUCCGUGC
rnacentral:rRNA from 1 species